GACGAACGCUGGCGGCGUGCUUAACACAUGCAAGUCGAACGGAAAGGCCCUGCUUUUGUGGGGUGCUCGAGUGGCGAACGGGUGAGUAACACGUGAGUAACCUGCCCUUGACUUUGGGAUAACUUCAGGAAACUGGGGCUAAUACCGGAUAGGAGCUCCUGCUGCAUGGUGGGGGUUGGAAAGUUUCGGCGGUUGGGGAUGGACUCGCGGCUUAUCAGCUUGUUGGUGGGGUAGUGGCUUACCAAGGCUUUGACGGGUAGCCGGCCUGAGAGGGUGGCCGGGCACAAUGGGGCUAAGGUACGGACCAGAAUCCUACGGGAGGCAGCAGGGGGGAAUAUUGCACAAUGGGCCGAAGCCUGAUGCAGCAACGCCGGGUGCGGGAAGACGGGCUUCGGGUUGUAAACCGCUUUCGCCUGUGACGAAGCGUUAGUGACGGUAAUGGGUAAAGAAGCCCCGGCUAACUACGUG
rnacentral:rRNA from 1 species